CCUACGGGAGGCAGCAGUGAGGAAUAUUCCACAAUGGGCGAAAGCCUGAUGCAGCGACGCCGCGUGAGGGAUGACGGCCUUCGGGUUGUAAACCUCUUUCGACCUUGACGAAGCGCAAGUGACGGUAGGGGGAGAAGAAGCACCGGCCAACUACGUGCCAGCAGCCGCGGUAAU
rnacentral:rRNA from 1 species